CAGACAGCAAUUUUUUGUAGGGUGCAAAGUAAUGCUUCUAUCUGUGCUUUAUUUAAAUGCAAUAUUCUCUCAUAUAUGCGUGCUUUAGGUUGGGCAUAUCAUUGAAGUCGGCCAUUGUCGAGGGAAGUCAUUUUAAACAGAGGAAGGACCCGGAGGUUUGCUCUAGGUUUCUUCCCCUUGAUUUUGCAACGCUUAGCUCUGGCUGCCAACUGGCCUAUUUCACCACCACCCUCCCCACGCAUCCUCCCUGCCAGCUGCAUCUUGGAGCUUUCCAGGGACCAGAGCCCACUGGAAUAGUCAGGUUGGGUUACAUUUUUUAUUCUUUAGAGUUAAGAAUGCUUUCCUUGAAAGAAGGUGUGCCCCAGAUUUUAGAGCUAGCCCUAAACAUACUCUGGGAGAAAAAGCCUCCUUUUUUGGAGCCAAUAUUUGCAUUACUAAGUUUUGUUAGGAGUCUGAUCUUUUUGGACAAAACACAGGAAAUUCUUUUCAUGCUGAAAAUGGAAUCUUUGCUUUAUUUGCUAUUUUCCACAUAAGACCUCUACUACCUGUCUACCUCUUCCCUGUUUCCUGUGUUAAAUAUGUGCUUAUCACAGUACACAGUAAUUACAGGGACAGGUUCCAAAUCUGUUUUGCAAAUGUCCAAGUUUUCAAAAAUUAUGAUAAAACAUACUUUCUUCAUAAAAUUCAGUGUAGUAAAAUUUUAAAUUUACUACCCUCAGGGACAUACUGCAAUCUCAAUUUCGAGAAGAGAACAAUGAAGGUUAAAGGCAAUACAGGCUUAGAUGUCAGGCCACUGGUUAUGCUCAGCCGCUAGCUAAGAGUUAAUUUUCUCUGACACUUGGCUUCAGCAGGAAGACAAAUCACUGCUUAUCCUGUGCCUUCAGAUCAAAACAGUAAACUUAAAAUGCCUGAGGAGAAGAAUGAGCAGUGUGUUUACACAUCUAUCAGCCAAACAAGAUUGUGAAUUCCAGGAGAGCAGACUCUGUGUCUUGUUUCCUGCGUGUAGAACUCGGCCUGCCUGAAGGAAAAGAAAGAGACAUGAGAGAUAUCUCUCUCUGUCUCCUCGUGCACGGAGACCAUAUGACCAGAUAGCAAGAAGGUGGCUGCCUGCAACCCAAGGAGAGAUAUUUCACCAGAAACCAAACCUGCUGACACCCUGAUUUGGACUUCUGGCCUCCAGAACUAGGAUGAAAUAAAUGUCUGUUGUUUAA